rnacentral:piRNA from 1 species
UAGGAGAAACAAGUGUGUUGU